CCUACGGGAGGCAGCAGUGAGGAAUAUUGGUCAAUGGGCGCGAGCCUGAACCAGCCAAGUAGCGUGAAGGAUGACUGCCCUACGGGUUGUAAACUUCUUUUAUAAAGGAAUCAAGUGAGGCACGUGUGCCUUUUUGUAUGUACUUUAUGAAUAAGGAUCGGCUAACUCCGUGACAGCAGCCGCGGUAAUACGGAGGAUCCGAGCGUUAUCCGGAUUUAGUGGGUUUAAAGGGAGCGUAGAUGGUUUGUUAAGUCAGUUGUGAAAGUUUGCGGCUUAACCGUAAAAUUGCAAUUGAUACUGGCAGUCUUGAGUACAGUUGAGGUGGGCGGAAUUCGUGGUGUAGCGGUGAAAUGCUUAGAUAUCACGAAGAACUCCGAUUGCGAAGGCAGCUUACUAAACUGCCACUGACAUUGAUGCUCGAAAGUGUGGGGAUCAAACAGGAUUAGAUACCCUGGUAGUC
rnacentral:rRNA from 1 species